GUGUCAGCAGCCGCGGUAAUACGAAGGGGGCUAGCGUUGUUCGGAUUUACUGGGCGUAAAGCGCGUGUAGGCGGGCCGUUAAGUUGGGGGUGAAAGCCCGAGGCUCAACCUCGGAACUGCCUUCAAAACUGGCGGCCUGGAGCAAGAUAGAGGCGAGUGGAAUUCCGAGUGUAGAGGUGAAAUUCGUAGAUAUUCGGAGGAACACCAGUGGCGAAGGCGACUCGCUGGAUCUUUGCUGACGCUGAGACGCGAAAGCGUGGGGAGCAAACAGGAUUAGAUACCCGUGUAGUCC
rnacentral:rRNA from 1 species